rnacentral:rRNA from 1 species
AGCUCCAAUAGCGUAUAUUAAAGUUGUUGCAGUUAAAAAGCUCGUAGUUGGAUUUGUGGUGUGUCCAGUUGGCCUUUGCUCUUUGAGUGAUUGCGCUUUACUGGUCUGCCAUGUUUGGGUGGAAUCUGUGUGGCAUUAAGUUGUCGUGCAGGGGAUGCCCAUCGUUUACUGUGAAAAAAUUAGAGUGUUCAAAGCAGGCUUAUGCCGUUGAAUAUAUUAGCAUGGAAUAAUAAUAUAGGACCUUGGUACUAUUUUGUUGGUUUGCGCACUAAGGUAAUGAUUAAGAGGGACAGUUGGGGGUAUUUGUAUUCCAUUGUCAGAGGUGAAAUUCUUGGAUUUUUGGAAGACAAACUACUGCGAAAGCAUUUACCAAGGAUGUUUUCAUUAAUCAAGAACGAAA